GGCAAGUGAUGCUGAGGAAAAAGGAACAGGGGUAUUUUUAACUGAAGGGCAUCAAUGAUGAAGUCUUCACAGUUGGCAAUUAAGAAGCUUGAACGGCUGAAUGAAGAUAGUUUUGAGUCCGAAGAGGAAGAGGAAGAGGAAGAGGAAGAGGAAAACGGAAUAGAGGUCCAAAGAGAGAGGAAGAGUGCAAAAUUUGAGGAAAGCGGUGGAAGAGAAAAAUGGGAAAGAGGAAAGUCAGAAGAAAAAUUUGAGGAAAGUGUGGGCGUGAGGAGGCCGCUCCCCGUCAAAGGGAUGUAUCCCCACGGCGAAGGGAGCAUGAUGCAGAGAGGUCCAGGGAAGGGCGUAGACACCAAAGAAACCGACAAGCUAGAGAUGAAGCCCCUAUCCACGAGGUGCACACCAUAUUUGGAGGCCCGUAUGUUGGCGGCGAAACACGAAACGCCAAAAGGAACUACGCCCAGGAGGCUAAACGCCCCCCUUUGACAAGCUACAUCGUGGGUAGCAACUCCCAAAGAAACCAGGUCCCACCCAUUGUAUUUUCCGAGGAAGACGAAGAGGGAAUUCAUUACCUCCACUGCGAUGCGCUUGUGGUGAGGGCUGUCAUAACCAGGAAUGGGCUCAAACAAAUGUUGGUUGACAACGGCAGCUCCGUCAACAUUCUAUUCGGAUCCGCCUUUGAUAAAAUGAUAUUGGAUCAUCAGCUGACGCCCACCACCACUCCAUUGUACAGAUUUACUGGAGAUAGCAUCACUCCGAGAGAAAAGAUAACACUAGCAGUAGAGAUGGGGGAAUCCCCACGUACAACGACGAAUUUCAUGGAGUUCCUCAUUGUUGACAGCAGGUCGGCCUACCAUGGGGUGUUGGGCAGACCAGCCCUAAAGGAACUGGGAGCAGUCGCCUCCAUCCACCAUCUGCGCAUGAAAUUUCCAACUGAAAAUGGGGUGGCAACGGUGAGAGGCGACCAAAGAGGCUCGAGAGAAGGCUAUCUAAGCUCCAUCAAGAAGGCAGAGCCUCGGGACAUCCAUGUAGUCAUAGCUGACGUGGUCAUGGCUGACGUCCUAGGUGAUGCUCCCACCGAACAAGAAGAUGUUGAUAUGAUCGAUGCACCACCUAAUGCAGAGGCGCUGGUCAUCGAUGAAAUUGACCCCCGCAUCAUGGAACACGAGCCUCAGGCAUCUCCAGUAGAAGAACUUGAGAGCUUCUCAGUAGACCCCCGAGACCCAUCAAAGGUACUGAAGGUAGGCAAAUGCCUAGCCAACAUUCUGAAGGAAAAGAUUAAGGACUUCCUGAGCAAGAAUCUUGAUGUAUUUGCCUGGAAGCAUGAGAACAUGGUAGGCAUAGACCCCAAGAUCAGCUGCCACCACCUAAAAAUUGAUUCCAAGGUUGCCCCGCAUAGACAAAAAGGAAGAGCCCUCAACCCUGAAAGGUAUGAGGCCUUAAAGGAAGAAGUUCAGAAGCUCAUCCAAAACGGCUUCAUCCGAGAGGCAACCUACCCUAGAUGGGUCUCCAACCCGAUUUUGGUAAGGAAAAACAACGGCAAAUAGAGGGUGUGCAUUGACUUCACCAACCUCAAUAGAGCUUGUCCGAAAGAUAGUUUUCCACUCCCAAGGAUUGACCAACUAGUGAAUUCCACUGCUGGGCACGAGUUGUUGAGCUUCAUGGACGCGUACUCCGGCUACAACCAAAUCCCCAUGUACCCGAUCGAUGAAGAGCACACCUCCUUCAUUACGGACCGAUGCCUCUAUUGUUAUAGAAUGAUGCCCUUCGGGUUGAAAAACGUCGGAGCAACCUACCAAAGACUCGUAAACAAGAUGUUUGUGAACCUCAUUGGCAAAACAAUGGAGGUCUACGUGGACGACAUGCUAGUAAAAAGUUUGGAGGCCGAAAACCACAUAAAGCACCUCAACAACACUUUCCAGAUCCUAAGAAGAUGUAGGAUGAGGCUCAACCCCCACAAAUGCGCCUUUGGGGUAGCCUCCGGCAAGUUCUUGGGGUACAUGGUCAACCAACGGGGAAUUGAGGCCAAUCUCGAGAAGAUUGAACCUUUGUGCAAGAUGAGGUCCCCCCAAAAGUCGAAGGAGGUGCAAAGUUUUACUGGGCGAGUGGCCGCACUUAGCCGCUUUGUGUCCAAGGCUACGGACAAAUGCCUCCCCUUUUUCAAAGUACUAAAGGCUGGGAAGAAAUUUCAGUGGACGAAGGAAUGUGAAGAGGCUUUCCAAUGCUUGAAAAGGCACUUGAGGCAGGCCCCCCUCCUUUCCAAACCUAAGCCCGGUGAUAUCCUACAACUAUAUUUGGUCGUUUCCAAUGAGGCCAUCAGCUCGGUUCUGAUACGGGAAGAAGGGUCUACCCAACUCCCCGUGUACUACACAAGUAAAGCGCUCCUAUCGCCGGAAACCCGUUACCUCGAUAUGGAGAAGCUUACUUUGGCUUUGAUCACGGCCUCUAGGAAAUUGAGACCCUACUUCCAAGCUCACGCCGUCCAUGCACUGACAAAUUUUCCCCUGAGGCAGGUACUCCAAAAGCCUGAUGCCUCAGGAAGGUUAUUGAAAUGGGUGGUAGAACUCGGUGAAUUUGACCUUGUAUUCAAGGCUAGGGCAAGCCUUAGCUGACUUUGUGGCUGAAUUCGCCAACCUAUCCGAGGUGGACGAAAUCAUGGAACCUAUCGAAUCCCCCACGUGGAAUCUUUUCGUUGAUGGGUCAGCUGGGGAAAUUGGCUCCGGUGCUGGGGUUAUUCUUAUCAGCCCCGAAGGUCACAAGCUCACCUCGGCGGUGAGGUUCGGAUUCAAAGCUACCAAUAAUGUAGCAGAGUAUGAGGCACUUCUUGCAGGCCUCAGGCUGGCCACCGAAAUGUAAGUAAAGAGGCUGCUCAUCAGUAGUGAGUCUCAACUGGUUGUUAGCCAAGUCAAUGGUAACUUCUCAGCCAAAGACAAAACGAUGGCCUUCUACCUGAAAAUGGUGAUGAAUCUCAUCCCAUCCUUCGAAAAGUUUGAGUUGAUCCUGAUCCCUCGCAUCGAAAAUGCACAUGCUGAUGCACUAUCAAAGCUAGCUAGCAGCAAGGACUCAGAGCUACUCACAGUAGUACCUAUUGAGCACCUCCUCCUACCUUCGAUCGAGGUCCUAACAGUAAUGUGGGUCGCUGGGACUCCCGCUUGGAUGCAACCAAUCGUAGCAUACCUCAAAGACCAGGCACUGCCAACUGACAAGAAUGAGGCUUACAAGCUAAGAAGGAGGUCAGCCCACUUCCUUUUCAUUGAUGACAUUCUCUACAAGAGAAGUUUCUCCUCCCCACUCCUACGGUGCGUGGGAGGAGAAGAGGCUACCUACGUAUUGAGGGAGGUCCAUGAGGGCGUAUACGGUAACCACUCCGGAGGGCUGUCUCUGGCGCAGAAAAUAUUGAGGUAGGGGUACUACUGGCCCACACUAAAGCGGGACGCCCUCGAGUUUGUACGAAAAUGCGAUAAAUGCCAGCGCUUCUCUCCGGUGCAGCGACAACCAUCACAGGAGCUGACCACCGUCUCUAGCCCCUGACCUUUCUCAAAAUGGGGUGUGGACCUCAUAGGUCCCCUACCUAAGGGUAGAGGAGGGGCAAGUUUUGCAAUUGUGGCUAUUGAUUACUUCACGAAGUGGGUCGAAGCCGAACUACUAGCAAAAAUCACUGAAGCCAACACCUCCAAGUUCUUAUGGAAAAAUAU
rnacentral:lncRNA from 1 species